UACGAAGGGAGCUAGCGUUGUUCGGAAUCACUGGGCGUAAAGCGCACGUAGGCGGAUGUGUCAGUCAGGGGUGAAAUCCCGGAGCUCAACUUCGGAACUGCCUUUGAUACAGCACGUCUUGAGUCCGGAAGAGGUGGGUGGAAUUCCUAGUGUAGAGGUGAAAUUCGUAGAUAUUAGGAAGAACACCGGUGGCGAAGGCGGGUCUCUGGGCCGAUACUGACGCUGAGGAGCGAAAGCGUGGGGAGCGAACAGG
rnacentral:rRNA from 1 species